rfam:Streptomyces incarnatus strain NRRL 8089 sequence.
CGGACGGUGUACUCCCAGAUGGCGUCCGGGUCGAGCAGCGCCUGCUCGCCGAAGUAGGCGCCGUCGGCGAGGACUCCGAGGACCGCGUCGUCGCCGUACGGGCCGGUGCCGACCUUCUCGACCCUGCCGUGGGCCAGCAGGUACACCUCGCCCGUCUGGUUGCCGAAGUCGGCGAUCACCUCACCGGGCGCGAAGUCGCGCUGGCGGCAGCGCCGGGCGAGCUCCGUCAGCACCUCCUCGUCCUCGUAACCGCGCAGGGCCGGCAGCUCGCCGAGUUCGGCCGGGAUGACCUCGACCUGGUCCCCGGUCUUCACGAAGGUGAUGCGGCCGUCGCCGACGGAGUACGUCAGCCGCCGGUUCACCCGGUAUGUGCCGCCCUGUACGUCCACCCACGGGAGUGUGCGCAGCAGCCAGCGGGAGCUGAUCUCCUGCAUCUGCGGAACGGACUUGGUGGUGGUGGCCAGGUUCCGCGCGGCCGCGGUCCCGAGGGACUGCUGUGGCCUGCCCU